rnacentral:pre_miRNA from 1 species
UCGAAGCCCAAAGCAACUAUUGGUCACUGCACAGGACUAGUGACCCGAUAUACUCUUGUGCGUGUUCCAAUAGUUAUUGUGGGUGCUUCACAUUCAUCG